CCCUGUGUGAUGCAAAUGGUUAAGCACUGGGCUAUUAACCAAAAGGCUGGUGGUUCAAAUCCACCCAGAGGCA
rnacentral:tRNA from 1 species